rnacentral:ribozyme from 12 species
CACAAAAUCAGUAUGAAGCCAAAGAAUCCAUAGAAAAGAAUGCAGCAUAUAUUUGACAGCCAAUUGUUUAUUGUUUUUUUUUUUUUUUUUUUUUUUUUUUC